rnacentral:rRNA from 1 species
UACGUAGGUGGCAAGCGUUGUCCGGAUUUACUGGGCGUAAAGAGCGCGCAGGCGGUCAGAUAAGUCGAAUGUGAAAGCCCCCGGCUCAACUGGGGAGGGUCACGCGAUACUGCUCGACUUGAAGGCAGGAGAGGGAAGUGGAAUUCCCGGUGUAGUGGUGAAAUGCGUAGAUAUCGGGAGGAACACCAGUGGCGAAGGCGACUUCCUGGCCUGUUCUUGACGCUGAGGCGCGAAAGCUAGGGUAGCAAACGGG